CAAGGCUACUGUGCUACAUUCGACACUUUUCAUUGUUUUUUUCUAAUAGUAAUGCCAUCGUGCAUGUUGCAUGAUAAUUUAUUCCGGAUACGAGUUUACAUCCAUUUGUGCCAUGAGUCGUCCAUACACCGUACAUGGAGAAGGUGAUCGAUGGUUAAAGGAUCGAAAGGGUCGUAGGAAUGGACAAUGGGACAGUUGCUGAGCAAGCUGCAGUGUCAGGAGAUCAGUGUACACGCAUACGACUGCAAAGGUCUGGGGAAGUGGCCAGUGUACGAGACAUGGAAUCUUAUUGGCUGCUAAACAAUGAAUGAGACAAAUUGCAGAAGAUC